rnacentral:rRNA from 1 species
GACGAACGCUGGCGGCGUGCUUAACACAUGCAAGUCGAACGAUGAAGCUAGAGCUUGCUCUGGUGAAUUAGUGGCGAACGGGUGAGUAACACGUGAGUAACCUGCCCCGAACUCUGGGAUAACUGCUGGAAACGGUAGCUAAUACUGGAUACGACCUACGAAGGCAUCUUCUGUAGGUGGAAAGAAUUUCGGUUCGGGAUGGACUCGCGGCCUAUCAGCUUGUUGGUGAGGUAAUGGCUCACCAAGGCGACGACGGGUAGCCGGCCUGAGGGGGGGACCGGGCACGCUGGGACUGUGACACGGCCCAGCCUCCUACGGGAGGGAGCAGUGGGGAGUAUUGCACCAUGGGCGCAAGCCUGAUGCAGCAACGCCGCGUGAGGGAUGACGGCCUUCGGGUUGUAAACCUCUUUUAGUAGGGAAGAAGCGAAAGUGACGGUACCUGCAGAAAAAGCACCGGCUAACUACGUGCCAGCCGCCGCAGUAA